UACGUAGGGUGCAAGCGUUUGUCCGGAAUUAUUGGGCGUAAAGAGCUCGUAGGCGGUUUGUCGCGUCUGCUGUGAAAACGCGAGGCUCAACCUCGCGCCUGCAGUGGGUACGGGCAGACUAGAGUGUGGUAGGGGAGAUUGGAAUUCCUGGUGUAGCGGUGGAAUGCGCAGAUAUCGGGAGGAACACCUGAGGCGAAGGCGGGCUACUGG
rnacentral:rRNA from 1 species